UGCAUCGGCCGGGAAUCGAACCCGGGCCGCCCGCGUGGCAGGCGAGCAUUACACUGAACCACCGAUGC
rnacentral:tRNA from 1 species